AGCCAUCAAGCAGUGAACAAGCACGACAACAGAAUUAAGUUACAGGGAUACAUUUUUGAAACACUUUUGUGUAAGUGUCCAUUUAUGCCAAAACUUUUUUUAAAAAAAUUUAUUAAGGCUUAAAUAUAAAGUCCAAUCCAAUAAAAAAUAAAAGGUUAAUUUACUCAACCCACCCCACCCAGCCCAUUUGACCUGAUUACAAACAAAAAAGGAAAAAAAAAAAAAUCGAUCACCAUCUCUCAUUCUCCCCACACUCAAUCCACUGAAAUCCUAGACGAAGAGCCCCUCGCUCUCCUCCUCCUCCGCCACCGCAGCCGACGAGGUAGUGUUCUGGUAGUUACUAAAUGCUUAAAUAAGUGUUCGUAAAUUAGCAGCAUUCUUUUUAGGUUGUACCGACACUCUUAAACUGUUACUAUAUACCUAGUGACCCCACAUAUAGCAACACGUUUUAAAAGUGUGGAUAAUUUAGCCAGCAAUACUUUUUUUUGAUCUGUACCGACAUUUAAAAGUGUCGGUAUACACCGUUUUUGUUGUAGUGUAGGCGAGUAAUGCCAAAAAUGCAAAUGAGC
rnacentral:lncRNA from 1 species